UACGGAGGGUGCAAGCGUUGUCCGGAUUUAUUGGGUUUAAAGGGUGCGUAGGCGGCCCUGUAAGUCAGUGGUGAAAUACUGCAGCUUAACUGUAGCAUUGCCAUUGAUACUGUAGGGCUUGAGUACGGAUGAGGUAGGCGGAAUUGAUGGUGUAGCGGUGAAAUGCAUAGAUACCAUCAAGAACACCGAUUGCGAAGGCAGCUUACUAAGCUGUAACUGACGCUGAGGCACGAAAGCGUGGGGAUCGAACAGG
rnacentral:rRNA from 1 species